rnacentral:rRNA from 1 species
AUAUCAAUAAGCGGAGGGAAAGAAACCAACAGGGAUUGCCUCAGUAACGGCGAGUGAAGCGGCAACAGCUCAGAUUUGGAAUCCGGCCCUAGGCCCGAGUUGUAAUCUGCAGAGGAUGCUUUUGGUGCGGUACCUUCCGAGUUCCCUGGAACGGGACGCCAUAGAGGGUGAGAGCCCCGUCUGGUCGGAUACCAAUCCUCUGUAAAGCUCCUUCGACGAGUCGAGUAGUUUGGGAAUGCUGCUCUAAAUGGGAGGUAUAUGUCUUCUAAAGCUAAAUAUUGGCCAGAGACCGAUAGCGCACAAGUA